CAUGUGAGGUCUGACAAAGUCUGUUUCAACUCUGUCUGCCUUUUGAUUCCCCCUAGAAUUGCAUUAGCCUUUUAUGCUGCUGCAUCACACUCUUGGCUCACGUUCUGCUUACGAUGCUGACCAUGAUGAUGAUGAUAUUAUAAGCAACCCAAAGCUUAUUAUACUGCUUAUAAUAAUAUAGGGAUAGGGAAAUAAUUAUAAUAAUAUAGGGAUAGGGAAAUAAUAAUAAUAAUAAGACACAAAGUGAUUCCAGGUGAGGUUUGACCAAAGCAGAACUGAGCCAGACUCUCGAUUCCUUCCAUCUCAACUCUCUCCUCUGGAUUCCCCCUAGAAUCGCAUGGGCCUUUUCCGCUGCUGCAUCACACUCUCGGCUCCUCCCGCACUGACCUCCUGGGAUCCCUUUCUCGUGGCCCUAAGACUCGACAUUCAGCAGAAGGCGACAUGCCAGAAAGCCAUUCCAGGAUCAUAAAAGGGAACCUCAGAGGGCAUCCAGCAGCAUCAAGGAAGGCACCAGCCGAUCCGUCCAGACAGAGGGCCAUCCAGCCAUAGGUAUGGUAUUAAUAAUAGAUAGAUAGAUAGAUAGAUAGUUAUAA
rnacentral:lncRNA from 11 species